rnacentral:rRNA from 1 species
UCCGAAGGGGGCUAUCGUUGCUCGGAAUGACUGGGCGUAAAGGGCGCGUAGGCGGACUGCACAGUCAGGCGUGAAAUUCCUGGGCUUAACCUGGGGACUGCGUCUGAGACGUGUGAUCUAGAGUGAGGAAGAGGGUCGUGGAAUUUCCAGUGUAGAGGUGAAAUUCGUAGAUAUUGGAAAGAACACCGGUGGCGAAGGCGGCGACCUGGUCCUUGACUGACGCUGAGGCGCGAAAGCGUGGGUAGAAAACAGG